UACGUAGGCAGCAAGCGUUGUUCGGAAUUACUGGGCGUAAAGAGUGUGUAGGCGGUGCCCUAAGUUUGGUGUGAAAUCUCCCGGCUCAACUGGGAGGGUGCAUCGAAAACUGGGGGUGCUCGAGGGUGGGAGAGGUAAGCGGAAUUCCUGGUGUAGCGGUGAAAUGCGUAGAUAUCAGGAGGAACACCUGUGGUGUAGACAGCUUACUGGGACCACUUCUGACGCUGAGACACGAAAGCGUUGGGUAGCAAACAGG
rnacentral:rRNA from 1 species